CCCCGCAAGGGGUAACUGAGUGGCGAACGGGUGAGUAACACGUGGGUGACCUGCCUUCGAGUGGGGGAUAACAUCCCGAAAGGGGUGCUAAUACCGCAUGAAAUCCUGCCUUUGAAGAGGCGGUGAUUAAAGCUGGGGAUCGUAAGACCUGGCGCUUGAAGAGGGGCCCGCGUCCGAUUAGCUAGUUGGUGGGGUAACGGCCUACCAAGGCGACGAUCGGUAGCCGGCCUGAGAGGGCGGACGGCCACACUGGGACUGAGACACGGCCCAGACUCCUACGGGAGGCAGCAGUGGGGAAUUGUUCGCAAUGGGCGAAAGCCUGACGACGCAACGCCGCGUGGAGGACGAAGAUUUUCGGAUCGUAAACUCCUUUCGAUCGGGACGAAUGACUGGUGACCUAACACGUCAUCAGAGUGACGGUACCGAGAGAAGAAGCCCCGGCUAACUCCGUGCCAGCAGCCGCGGUAAUACGGGGGGGGCAAGCGUUGUUCGGAAUUACUGGGCGUAAAGGGCGCGUAGGCGGCCUGCUAAGUCAUACGUGAAAUCCCUCGGCUCAACCGGGGAACUGCGUGUGAUACUGGCGGGCUUGAAUUCGGGAGAGGGAUGUGGAAUUCCAGGUGUAGCGGUGAAAUGCGUAGAUAUCUGGAGGAACACCGGUGGCGAAGGCGGCAUCCUGGACCGAGAUUGACGCUGAGGCGCGAAAGCUAGGGGAGCAAACGGGAUUAGA
rnacentral:rRNA from 1 species